UGUGCUGUACUUUAAAGAGAAGAUUUGAUUUGCAAUUAAAAAGUGGGUGUUUCCCAGUACUC
rnacentral:tRNA from 1 species